rnacentral:rRNA from 1 species
CAGUCGCCGCGGUAAGACAGAGGAUGCAAGCGUUAUCCGGAAUGAUUGGGCGUAAAGCGUCUGUAGGUGGCUUUUCAAGUCCGCCGUCAAAUCCCCGGGCUCAACCGGGGAGGGUCAUUGGAAACUGGGAAACUUGAGUGCAGAAGAGGAGAGUGGAAUUCCACGUGUAGCGGUGAAAUGCGUAGAGAUGUGGAGGAACACCAGUGGCGAAGGCGACUCUCUGGUCUGUAACUGACGCUGAGGAGCGAAAGCGUGGGGAGCGAACAGGAUUAGAUACCCCUGUAGUCCCUGUCUUUUAUAC